ensembl:lncRNA novel transcript, antisense to UNC5D
GGACUCACAAACUAAGUGUGAAAUUAAUUUUAAAAACACAUACAUGCAUUUCUAAGUAACUCUCACAUUGGCCACCCCAUGGAUACCUAUGAUCUUUUUUGUGCUAUAUGACAGAAUCAGUGGACAGCAUGCACCAUGUGGCCGGGAGCAAGGUAAGAGUCCACUUACUCCACCUGUCAUCCUGAGGGUCCUGACACAAGCACAGGCCAAAUAUUCAGUGAUCUGUUUAUUUCUCUCUCCCUCAAUGCCCAUACACAUGAACACACAUAUACACAGCCAGGUGCCCCCAAACUCAGUCUUCCCAUAAAUUCAAAAUCAAACAUGCAUGAUGUCAGAGGACCAAUACUUAAGUAGUAAUGAUUUUUUUUAAUGGGCAGCAGACAGCAGGGAAAUAAGUUUAAAUGUUUAUUUUUGCUGUUUUCCCAAAUUCUUAGACUUUGCAAGUAAUGAUAUCUUUGUAUCUCCAGCCUUCCUGAAGCAACAUAAGGAAAUAGGAACAGAAUGGCUUUACUGGAUUUUUCCCUCAUGUCUUGUGACCCCUGUCCCAAGUUACCUAUUUCUGUCUAUCCUCACAGGGUCUUAAUUCUCUCAAAGAAGUUAGCUCAUAAUAGCUAUUAACUCUUCCAAGCUCUUUGAAUUUUAAUACCCUAAGAUUUAAAAGAUCAAAAGUCAUUCAGUUGAUACUAGAAUGAGAGAUGCUAGGCAGGGACGUCUUUCACAAGCUUUACAAACCAAACCAGCCAGGCCGUUGUCUAAUCUCCUACUAAUGAGAGCUGUAUUAAUGUUGCCCCAGUAUCUUGAAGUUUCCCUAGCGUCCUUUACAUAUUUCUGAUGUAUGAGAAUGACUUGGGGAACAUAUUAACACAUAGAUUCUUAGGAGCUCCUCAACCAGGAAUUCAAAUUUAUUUGUUCUGUUCUGAGGUGGUGCAUAUUUAAUUUAACAAGCUCCAGCCACACUCUGAGAUUCUGAUGCAUGUGGAUUCUGAUCCACCUUUUGAGAAACAUUUUUCUAAAAUCAUGGUUCUCAGCCCCACCUGCACCUUGGAGUCACCUGAGGAGCUUUGAAAAAUAGAGAUACCUGGGUCCUGAAAACCCUCCACCUUAAAUUCCAAUAGCCUUGAUACAGCCUGGAAAUUGGGAAUUUUAAAAGGCCUACAGGUGAUACUAAAGAGCAUAAGGUCAAAUGCCAUACUGCUAGCCAUUCCAGCCAUCUCCUCUCUCCAGCUCUGCAGGAAGCAUAAAAUGAAGACAAUGCAAAGGCCUCUCCCAUAAGCAAGCCUGGGUACAACGAGCCUAAGCCAGUACCAACACCCCAAUCCUCAGCUCGUCAUUAUUUCACCAUGGAGUUCUGGAUCCUAAUCUGCCCAGCUGCCAUGGAUUCCACAGGAGAUUCUUAUCAGGAUGAGAAAAGCAGUGAGCUUUCAGCCUGUCACUCUAUUAUAUACAACCAGAAGCCUGCUCAGGAACGAAGAUUACUCUGGGUAGCAGAAUGAAACUCCAUUAAAAACAGGCUCUACAGAUUGAUUUUAAAGCCACCUACACUGCAGUUUCUUCAAUUUAGCUCUACUUAUCUGAUUAUGCAUCACAAAAGGAAGCAGAAAUUCAGCUUAAUUGUGAAGCCAUUGCAGCAGAACCAAGCAAAUGAUAGAAAACCUCAUGAUCACAGACAGAAUCACACUCACUGAUGCUGAAUGAAAUGACAGACAUCCGUCCCUCUGCAGAAGCCUGAAUACUGAUCACAGAAUUUUACGUUCUGACAUUGUGUGUCUCUUGUCAGAUAGUGUUGUCCUUUACUUUCCCCGCUUCAGUUGUGAAAGUCAGGUGCAGUCUCAUACUAUUUUUUUUUAAAAUUCAUUAUGACAAGUAAAUGGUCUCUGGGAAAGCGAACAUCCUCAUCCACUGUUUACUGAAACUGUAACACUGUCAUGAGUGAAGAAUGAAACAUGUUUAAUGUAAAGAGUUUGCAGAAUGAUGAUCAGAGGAAAAGAACAUUAAACAGAAGAAACAUAAAUAUAAGAAUGGGGAGAGAGAUGUAAUCAAAAGACAGCUUGUAAGGGAGGUUACAUGCUGCCAUUUGCUUUUCAGCUGUGUUUUCCAUAGUGGGACAGAUCUUGCUCUUUGUUACUUCUACUUUUGCUUUUUCCCAUCUGCAAAGAGGGAAACAAUCUGCUUUUGAAUCUCUGGUGAAGCAUCACCUAGAAGCUGCUGCCAAAGCUUGAUAUCCAGAGUGCUCUAAAACAUAGUGUGAUGUGCCCUUUCAUCUUAAAGGAUUAUUUUUGGCUGGGCAGACCUCUCUAAGAUAGAUUAUAAGGAGCUGGCUUUUAAAGGCAAUGAAAACUGCUUCUGUAUUCACAUUUACCCCCUCCCUCCAUUAUCUGAGGUAUGUAAAUAAUGUUUUAAAGUGGUGAUGUGAGAAUAUUAAUUAUGUUUUCAUUUCUUGUUCCUGUUACCAUGUAAUAUAUCUUCAAGUGCUGAGAAAACAUCUUACAAA